rnacentral:tRNA from 1 species
GUAGGCAUAGUUUAACAAAAACAUUAGAUUGUGAUUCUGAAAAAAGAGGUUAGAGUCCUCUUGCCCACC